ACAGUCUUAUAGGGUAGAGCGCAUCACUUGUAUAACAAGGAUAUGAUGAGGUCGCUAGUUCGAAUCUGGUAGUCGGUA
rnacentral:tRNA from 1 species